GAGGGGCUGUGGCUCAGUGGUGGAGAAUCUGCUUGGCAUACAGAAGGGACAGAGUUCAAUCCCCGGGCCCUUCA
rnacentral:tRNA from 1 species